rnacentral:rRNA from 1 species
UACGUAGGUGGCAAGCGUUGUCCGGAUUUAUUGGGUUUAAAGGGUGCGUAGGCGGUCUUAUAAGUCAGUGGUGAAAUACGGCAGCUCAACUGUCGAGGUGCCAUUGAUACUGUAGGACUUGAGUGCAGACGAGGUAGGCGGAAUUGACGGUGUAGCGGUGAAAUGCUUAGAUAUCGUCAAGAACACCGAUAGCGAAGGCAGCUUACUAGGCUGUAACUGACGCUGAGGCACGAAAGUGUGGGGAUCAAACAGG